CCUAACACAUGCAAGUCGAACGAAGCAUACGGACCGGAGAUUCGUCGAAGGACUGCAUGACUUAGUGGCGGACGGGUGAGUAAUGUAUGAGCAACCUGCCUUUCAGAGGGGGACAACAGUUGGAAACGACUGCUAAUACCGCGUAAUGUAUCGUGGGGGCAUCCUCGUGAUACCAAAGGAGCAAUCCGCUGAAAGAUGGGCUCAUAUCUGAUUAGCAUGUUGGCGGGGUAACGGCCACCAAGGCGACGAUCAGUAGCCGGACUGAGAGGUUGAACGGCCACAUUGGACUGAGAUACGGCCCAGACUCCUACGGGAGGCAGCAGGUGGGGAAUAUUGGGCAAUGGGCGAAAGCCUGAACCCCAGCAACGCCGCGUGAAGGAAGAAGGUCUUCGGAUUGUAACUUCUUUAUGAGGGACGAAGGACGUGACGGUACCUCAUGAAUAAGCCACGGCUAACUACGUGCCAGCAGCGGC
rnacentral:rRNA from 1 species